UCUUUGGAAGAAACUCUGAAGUAAAGGUGACAAGGUUCUUUGUUUAAAACAUUAAAAACAAAACAAAACAAAAUAUCAAGCAAGAAGUUUUCUGGCAACAAGCUAAGCACAGCAUUAUUUUUUCAGGAACACAAAUUAAAUGUUCAACUUGCGACAAAUUUGUACUUUCUCCCUGAAUUAUGUCGUUAUUAAAGAAAAAGAUUGGAAGAGGCUGAUAAAAUAUCAUCAGAACUGAAACUAG
ensembl:misc_RNA